rnacentral:misc_RNA from 1 species
CCGAAUUGUCGACACGAGUUGUUGCUGGUCCUCAAACGGGGGCAUGUGCACGCUCUGUUUGCACAUCCACUCACACCUGUGCACCCUCCGUAGUUCUGCAGCCUGGGGGCUCUGGUCCCCCCUGCUGUGGGUUCUACGUAUUUACACACACACACUGUGAUAAAGUCUCAUGGAAUGCAUGCUGCGUUUAACGCAAUACAAUA